rnacentral:misc_RNA from 1 species
CGGCAUUGCAAGACGGUGCCAAAACCGCGAAGGCCCUAGCACGUCAACACAACACCAGACGUCAUUCGUUUGUGCGAAUUACGCUAAUUUUGGGCAAAAGGAAGUCAUCGACCCCGUACCCUCUAGGUAUUCCGCAUCCGAGAGCUCAAGCAAAAUUCAUGGGCCGCAACAACAACACGACGAGUGAGUGGCACGGAACACAAAUAACGCUUCGAUGUUCACCCGACGCCGCACCCUUAGAAGGGGCAACACUAGGCGAACGAUGGGCAAAUUGACAACCGAAUUCCAUUACAGUAGGUAUGCA